CUACGGGAUGCAGCAGUGGGGAAUAUUGCACAAUGGGCGCAAGCCUGAUGCAGCCAUGCCGCGUGUAUGAAGAAGGCCUUCGGGUUGUAAAGUGCUUUCAGCGGGGAGGAAGGGAGUAAAGUUAAUACCUUUGCUCAUUGACGUUACCCGCAGAAGAAGCACCGGCAACUCCGUGCCAGCAGCCGCGGUAAUACGGAGGGUGCAAGCGUUAAUCGGAAUUACUGGGCGUAAAGCGCACGCAGGCGGUUUGUUAAGUCAGAUGUGAAAUCCCCGGGCUCAACCUGGGAACUGCAUCUGAUACUGGCAAGCUUGAGUCUCGUAGAGGGGGGUAGAAUUCCAGGUGUAGCGGUGAAAUGCGUAGAGAUCUGGAGGAAUACCGGUGGCGAAGGCGGCCCCCUGGACGAAGACUGACGCUCAGGUGCGAAAGCGUGGGGAGCAAACAGGAUUAGAUACCCCCGUAGUC
rnacentral:rRNA from 1 species